UGGGGAAUAUUGCACAAUGGGCGCAAGCCUGAUGCAGCCAUGCCGCGUGUGUGAAGAAGGCCUUCGGGUUGUAAAGCACUUUCAGCGAGGAGGAAGGUGGUGAACUUAAUACGUUCAUCAAUUGACGUUACUCGCAGAAGAAGCACCGGCUAACUCCGUGCCAGCAGCCGCGGUAAUACGGAGGGUGCAAGCGUUAAUCGGAAUUACUGGGCGUAAAGCGCACGCAGGCGGUUUGUUAAGUCAGAUGUGAAAUCCCCGGGCUCAACCUGGGAACUGCAUUUGAAACUGGCAAGCUAGAGUCUCGUAGAGGGGGGUAGAAUUCCAGGUGUAGCGGUGAAAUGCGUAGAGAUCUGGAGGAAUACCGGUGGCGAAGGCGGCCCCCUGGACGAAGACUGACGCUCAGGUGCGAAAGCGUGGAGAGCAAACAGGAUUAGAUACCCUGGUAGUCCACGCUGUAAAACGAUGUCGAUUUUGGAGGUUGUGCCCUUGAGCGUGGCUUCCGGAGCUAACGCGUUAAAUCGACCGCCUGGGGAGUACGGCCGCAAGGUUAAAACUUAAAUGAAUUGAC
rnacentral:rRNA from 1 species